UACAGAGGGGGCAAGCGUUGUUCGGAAUUACUGGGCGUAAAGGGCGCGUAGGCGCCUUCUAAGUCGAACGUGAAUCCCCGGGCUCAACCCGGGAACUGCGUCCGAUACUGGAAGGCUUGAAUCCGGGAGAGGGAUGCCGGAAUUCCAGGUGUAGCGGUGAAAUGCGUAGAUAUCUGGAGGAACACCGGUGGCGAAGGCGGCAUCCUGGACCGGUAUUGACGCUGAGGCGCGAAAGCCAGGGAGCAAAGCGGG
rnacentral:rRNA from 1 species